rnacentral:rRNA from 1 species
UACAGAGGUGGCAAGCGUUGCUCGGUAUCACUGGGCUUAAAGGGCGCGUAGGCGGUGCGGUACGGUUUCGGUGAAAUCCCUCGGCCCAACCGAGGAACAGCCGGGACAACGGCCGUGCUAGACGGCAUCAGGGGACAGUGGAACUUCCGGUGGAGCGGUGAAAUGCGUAGAUAUCGUUUGGAACGCCAAUGGUGAAAACAGGUCGCUGGGGAUGAGCUGGACGCUGAGACACGAAAGCCAGGGGAGCAAACGGGGAUUAGACGUACCCCCAGUAGUC